rnacentral:rRNA from 1 species
GCGGCGUGCCUAACGCAUGUAAGUCGAACGCAGUGUCUUCGGAUACUGAGUGGCGAACGGCUGAGGAACACGUACGAACCUGCCUGUUUGUGGGGAAUAACGCGCCGAAAGGCGUGCUAAUACCGCGUACGCUCAUCCUUCGGGGUGAGGAAAGCCUUCGGGCGCAGACAGCGGGGCGUGCGGCCCAUCAGGUUGUUGGUGGGGUAAUGGCCUACCAAGCCGGUGACGGGUAGCUGGUCUGUGAGGACGAUCAGCCAGACUGGGACUGCGACACGGCCCAGACACCUACGGGUGGCAGCAGCGAGGAAUCUUCCACAAUGGGCGAAAGCCCGAUGGAGCAACGCCGCGUGGAGGACGACGGCCUUCGGGUUGUAAACUCCUUUCGGGAGGGAUGAUACGGACAGUACCUCCAAAAGAAGCCCCGGCUAACUCUGUGCCAGCAGCCGCGGUAAUACAGGGGGGGCAAGCGUUGUCCGGAAUUACUGGGCGUACAGCGCGCGCAGGCGGUCCACUACGUGCCGUGUGACAGACGUCGGCUUAACCGACGUAGGCCAGGGUACACGGGUGAACUUGAGGCAGAGAGAGGGAUGUGGAAUACCCGGUGGAGCGGUGAAAUGCGUAGAGAUCGGGUGGAACACCAGGGGCGAAGGCGGCAUCCUGGCUCUGUACUGACGCUGAGGCGCGAGAGCGUGGGGAGCAAACCGGAUUAGAUACCCGGGUAGUCCACGCCGUAAACGAUGUGUACCCGGCGCUGGGAAGUGAUUGCGCUUCUCGGUGCCCCAGCUUACGCGAUGAGUACACCGCCUGGGGACUACGGCCGCAAGGCUAAAACUCAAAGGAAUUGACGGGGGCCCGCACAAGCAGCGGAGCGUGUGGUUUAAUUCGACGCAACACGAAGAACCUUACCUAGAUUUGACAUGCACCUGCAUGCGACAGAAAUGUCGCAGCCUUCGAGGGUGGUGCACCGGUGCUGCAUGGCUGUCGUCAGCUCGU